CGAUCUGCUGUGCGCAGAUGAAAUGGAUGUGACAAUCGUAACCGCCAGCCGUGAGGAUCGCGCCUUCGCCGGCGAUCGCCUCGGUCGCCGCGCCGAUGGUCAUCGGGUUCCGCUGGCCGGUCUCGGGAUCGGCAAAAACGGAGCCAAGCCCGUCCUGGAUGCCGGGGUUUCCCGCGUGGCCAAUGCCGACAAUGCGACCGCCCUUGAUGCCGAUGUCGGCCUUUAUGACGCCGAGUUUGGCGUCGAGAAUCAACGCGUUGGUGAUGACCACGUCAAGCGAUUCGGCGUCCCUGGCCAAGGGCGAUUGGCCCAUGCCGUCGCG
rnacentral:sRNA from 1 species